AUACGGAGGAUGCAAGCGUUAUCCGGAUUUAUUGGGUUUAAAGGGUGCGUAGGCGGACAGUCAAGCAGGGGGUGAAAUGCCGGCGCUCAACGCCGGAGCUGCCUUCUGAACUGGCUGUCUGGAGUGGCAGGGCCGUUGGAGGCAUGAGUGGGGUAGCGGGGAAAUGCUUAGAUAUCCCUCAGAACACCGAUUGCGAAGGCAUCUGACGAACUGCCCACUCACGCUGAGGCACGAAAGCGUGGGGAUCAAACAGGAUUAGAUACCCUGGUAGUCCACGCAGUAAACGAUGAUGACUAACUGCCGGCCCGUUGCGGGUCGGUGGCCAAGCGAAAGCGAUAAGUCAUCCACCUGGGGAGUACGACCGCAAGGUUGAAACUUAAAGGAAUUGACGGGG
rnacentral:rRNA from 1 species